rnacentral:rRNA from 1 species
UACGUAGGGUGCGAGCGUUUGUCCGGAAUUACUGGGCGUAAAGAGCUCGUAGGUGGUUUGUCGCGUUGUUCGUGAAAACUCACAGCUCAACUGUGGGCGUGCGGGCGAUACGGGCAGACUAGAGUACUGCAGGGGAGACUGGAAUUCCUGGUGUAGCGGUGGAAGUGCGCAGAUAUCAGGAGGAACACCGGUGGCGAAGGCGGGUCUCUGGGCAGUAACUGACGCUGAGGAGCGAAAGCGUGGGGAGCGAACAGG